rnacentral:lncRNA from 1 species
GUGACGCUGGUACCCCAGGGCUUGGACCUGACGCAGGGAGAUAGAGCGGGAGAUACAGAGGAAAAUGAAAGAACAAGAAUGGCCUUGUCAGCUCCUUGGUUCCUACCAGAGAGACACGGCAUCCUUCCCCUACUGCCUUGGGCACAAGGCUCUGGAGUGAAGAGGAAGGAGGCAGGAGGGAGUCAGGGGCACUCACCUCUUACAGCCUGGAAGAUCAUUAGCAAUAGCAGGUGGCAGUUGUGGCGCUGGCACCAAGUCCUCCGGACCCAACUGAGACAGGACUCAUGGCAUCAAGAACUUACAUCACGGCAGUCAUUGUCUCCAUCUUCUUCAUGGUUAUCCUGUCCUGCUCAAGUGCUCCAGUGACCCCCACAGAUUCCCAAGUGAUCGUGUGCCAGCCCUGGCUCCUAUGUGGGACUGUGGCCUACAACCCCCAGGAGAAUCAAUGCUGUGAGGAUGGCAGUGUCCAGCCCUUCCGCCUGAGCUGUGGUCCUACAUUCACCUAUGACCCCUGCUUUCAGCAUUGCUGCCCCGACUCUUACCGGGGAAAGUACAUUGUGGUUAAUAAGACAAGGGGAGGGACCGAGAGAAGCGAUUGUGAAAUGGCACGCUCCCAUUAGGAGCUGACAUCUGGUGAAAGUUGGCCAGAAGACCCCUGUCUCCAGAGGCAGUUUCCAGAUCUCAAAAGACCCAAAGCCUGGGGUUUCUUCAGCGG